rnacentral:lncRNA from 1 species
UGCCUCCAAAUGUUCUGAACCUUGGCCUUCAUCCCUUGAGACAAGUGCAGAAUAUCAAUCAACCAAAGGUGAAUCAUUAUAAAAUGGAGGACAGAGACAUCUGCAGCCAUUGAGGAAACAGUAAUUACAGGUACUCCAUGCGAUGGUCUCCUAUCUCCUAUCAAGCAAUCAGACCAGGAGAGCGCUGUUCUAAAGUCCUCCAAGACAAACCUUGGACCAACCACCUUCACAAUGUUCCCCAAACACCAAAGAGAUCAAAGCGACAAAGCCACCUUUUACAAGAUAUAUCUCCGGAGGUCUGAGAAGAUUCUAGACAGCGGAGGCAAAGUCCUUGAGGUAGUCCUUGAACUCCUCCCCAUUCUCCGUGUAGAGUUGGAGAUUCUCGCAGAUGGCGGCGAGAAGGGCAU